rnacentral:rRNA from 1 species
AGUGAACGCUGGCGGUAGGCCUAACACAUGCAAGUCGAACGGCAGCACAGUAAGAGCUUGCUCUUACGGGUGGCGAGUGGCGGACGGGUGAGGAAUACAUCGGAAUCUACUUUUUCGUGGGGGAUAACGUAGGGAAACUUACGCUAAUACCGCAUACGACCUACGGGUGAAAUCAGGGGAUCUUCGGACCUUGCGCGAUUGAAUGAGCCGAUGUCGGAUUAGUUAGUUGGCGGGGUAAAGGCCCACCAAGGCAACGAUCCGUAGCUGGUCUGAGAGGAUGAUCAGCCACACUGGAACUGAGAAACGGUCCAGACACCUACAGGAGGAAGCAGUGUGGAAUAUUGGACAAUGGGCGCAAGCCUGAUCCAGCCAUACCGCGUGGGUGAAGAAGGCCUUCGGGUUGUAAAGCCCUUUUGUUGGGAAAGAAAAGCAGCAGGUUAAUACCCAGCUGUUCUGACGGUACCCAAAGAAUAAGCACCGGCUAACUUCGUG